GGAAGACAGAAGAAAAAAGCAAUGAGGGUUGGCCUCACCUUCUUGGAACCCAGCUUCACCAACUGGAAUGGGAGUUUCCCAUUAUCAAAUUUUGUUUCCUGUUAGUUCCCCUUACCAGCCAUUGCCACCACCACCACCAUCACCAUGGAAGUGCUCGGGGCCUGGAGUGCCAGAAAAUGGAGAGAUGGAAGAGGAAACAAAAAAAAAGCAAACACAGUGCAGUGCUGCUCUCUCUCUGAGCAUUGGAAGUUCCCUUUCCAGCUCCUCGAGCCAUUACCAGAGGGAUUGUUUGACUGGUGCCCAUUUUCUGGGUCACCAGUGCUUUGUGUUCAGGUCAGGGGAUAUUGGAAGAACAAAAUGUCAAACUCACUGCCGAUUCAGUGGCACUUUUAAGUUUGGUCUUCUGCAGUCUUCCUCUGAUAUUUAAUUUCUCUGUCUUCAGGCUGUUCCCUGCUUUCUCUCAAGUUUCUAUAGCUGUAUUCAUUGAGGGAGACAGGAUGAAGAAGGUUCUUCUCCUUGAAACACUUCCAUCCAUCCCCUUGUAAUGCCUCAGUGUCCUGCUAUUACGUCUGUGGAGUCAUCGUCUAUAUGCAGUAGGCCCAAUCCAAAUUAGGUCUGAAAGGCUGCAAACAGAAGGUCAGAUAAAGCUAAACUUCAAAACAAAUGAAAAAAAGAAAAGGGAAGAAAAAAGAAUGGUUUGAGCGCUGUGUGAACUUCUGAAGAUCAGCUUCAAGGAUGCUGUGGAGAGAAGACAAAAUUACAUCCUGGGAAGAGCAUGAAGCAGAGAUCUGUGGACUCCCACUGAGAAAAGUUGACAUCACUGCACACUUCCCCCAUGAGGGUGCCUCGUCUCUUUGUCUCCCAAGAGACUGAGAAGGAGCUGGGUGGCUGGGUCUCCGCAUUGUCCAAAUGCCAGAAGAGCAAGGAGACAAGGGAACAGUGGGACUUGCUGCCAUUACCCCAGCAGGGGACAGCAGUCUGCUGCAUCUACACUAGCAAUCCCUGGGGGUAGAGAACACUUUACCUCCCAAAACCUGGGAGGUGAUGGAAUACAACAAGAUCUGUAAAAAUACGGAGAAAAAAGGCAACAUAUUAAGGUUCCAUCUGUUAGAGUGCGGAAACUUAGGUGGAAGAAACUACGUACAUCCAGUGAAAUAAGAUUGUUGGGGAGAUGUAUGAAAGCCUGAAUAAAAAAAAUUCGAAUCAUUUCAGUGAUUCAGAUCCAAGUGUAGAAUGAAAAGGACUUUUCAAAACCUAACAAUAGUUCCCUACUAAACAAUUAAAUGAAAUAAUACAAAGAAAAAACAAUUAAUUUUGAGUUCUAAUUGGUGGCCUCAAAUAUUAAGUGCAAAACAUAUUUGAAGCAGUGAGCAAAAAGCAUAAAGAGAUAACAAAUGUAGUGGAAAAGAUGAGAAAUCUGGGUGGUGGUUCCAGGAGACCAGGGUUCUGGAAAGAAGGAAAGAGAAAAAAAAUAAAACAUACGGAGAUGUCAAAAUUCAAAAACUGUUUAAAAAAACCCAGAUCAAUAAAAUUGUAUGUAGUGAAAGUUUAUUGUGUAUGUAGUAACAGUUCAUGAACUGAGAGUCUCCGAACCAGCAGUGGAAUGAAGCUCAGAGGCCUGUUGCUGUAGGAAAUCUUAUACACUGGAAAUGCAGAAGGUAUUUAAUCUUCAUAAUGAUUGGUUAUAGCAUUGGGGUUUUUCCCCAGACAGAGGAUUGGUUAAAGGUGGUAAUCUUAUGCUAUUUUUGGAAAACAAUUUAGGUUUCAUUCCUGACUUUCAGAAGCUUUUACAAGAAAACAGCCCACGUUAAGUUUCGCUUAUAUCGCAGGAUAGGCUAAAUUGGAUUUCAACUUAACUGGUUUUGUCUGCCCAGGGAAUUUUCAAAUCUGGUAUCCAUUUUGUAUUUUAUUUUACUAGAGAUGGUAAUUAAACACAUAAUGAAGCUAAUUCUCCUUGGGCCAAAUAAAGUUCUAAGUCUGUGGUAUGAAUGUACCUGGGCAUAGAUUGUGGUAUUCCUAAAAUAUGACAAAGAUAAGACAAGGAUGCAGAAGCAGCACAGCAAAGAUGCAUGAAUUUUCUAUGCUUCUGGGAAACAAUGCGAAAGGUUGAAUGGGAUUAAAUAAUCAUGGUGAUACUUAGUUUUAAAAUGAAGAUGACUGGGUCUUAAGGAGUGGAAUGACACUUUUAAAAAAUGAAGGUGACAGAAAAAUGUACAGAAUCAGACUGAGCUGUCACUAAAGAUGAGUGCCAUUCAGCUGAAAAAGGGUGAGGGAUGGAUAACAGAUCAGAGUUCAUAGAAGUUAUUGGAAAAAUAAAAUUGUCCCAUGUUUAUACCCUGAUGAGUCAAGACUGUUCAGUCAAACUGAUUAUACUUAUUUGCACACUGUCUCUUGUGAUUUGUCUCUUUGCUCUAAAAAUAAGUGUCAAAACAGCUCUGAUUAAUUGUAGUCUGGUGAAUGGGUUCUAUUUCCUAGAGGUUUUAUUGGUCAUUGAUGUGUGGAGAUGGAACCUUCAAUAUAUAGACUAAUUGUCCCCAUCACUCAUGGAAAACACUAAGACCCGGAAAGGACACCACAUAGCUCUUUGGAUUAUAAUGCUAGCAAACAUAUAUAAAAAUUACUGCAGGGGAGAAAGAGCUGAAUUUACAAAUGUAAAGAGGUAUUAGGCAAACUUUAUAGGUCAGUAUUUUUGUGUCUGUGAGCAUGCUGAUAUUUUUAAGCUAUAGUCAAGGUAAAUGAGCUAAGUAAGAAACUGAUUUUUAAGAUAUGUUUGUCAGCUAAUAUAGCAACAAAUGACUCAAUUUAAAAUCUGAGGUGAAAGAUACAUGUGUCUAAAUUGGUAAUAAACUACAUCUAUAUUCUGGGUCUGAUCUUUAGUAUUUUGCUAAUUUUGAUGUGAAUUCAAUAAAUAUUUUUGAACACAUGAUCAAAUUUUAUCAUACUAUCAUAACUCCUUGAUGGUUCAGGACAUCUGAUUCCAAGAGUCUAUUUUGAUGUCCCCAAGAAUUUACUCAUUUCUAUUGUUCCAGGUAUCCUAGUUUUUAGGUAAAACUGCUCUAGCAAGAUCUUUUAGCCAGAUAUUUUACCAAUUAUAUUAUUUUAAUACAAGAUGUUCUCUAUCAAAAUUCCACCUUACAGCUAGUUUCACAAAUCUUAUCUAGAAAUAAUUAUUCAUAUAAGGUUAUAGUCAUAAAAAAGGAUUAAGCGAAACUGUUUUCCUUCCAUUUCGGAAUUUUAUUAUAUCUGUGCACUAAUUUCCAAAUUAUAAAUUUCUCAG
ensembl:lncRNA